rnacentral:rRNA from 1 species
AUGGUGCCGCCGCCGAUUGGGUGUAGUUCUACAAUGAUAAAUACAACAACGCAACAUGCAGCCACAGUCCAGUGGUCUGCCCCGCCGGCCGGUCGCGUGAAGCUGAAUGUUGACGGGUCGUUCAUUGAUACCGAUGGUGGAUUAGCAGGAGCCGGUAUGAUCCUAUGUGAUAAUGAUGGCAACAUUAUCUUCUCCGCUUGUCGUUCUAUCUUGCAUUGUUCCGGACCGCUCCAGGCUGAGUUGUUGGCAUGUCAGGAGGGAUUAAGCCUUGCUCUACAAUGGUCUACUCGCCCGGUAGACAUCGAGAUGGACUGCAUGGAUGCAGUCAAGUUGAUCAAGUCACCUACCCUUGACAGAUCGCCACAUAGAAUGAUAGUUCAGGAUAUUAAAAAGCUCUUUGGUGAAAGGGAUAUCUCUAUUGCUCAUGUAAGUAGGAAUCAGAACGUUGUUAGCCACACACUUGCUGCUUUCGGACAAUCGGAGGGCAGAACUGCAGUUUGGUUGCGCUCUGGACCUGCAGACGUUCCUCUGCUAUCUGCAUGCAUGGCCUUGUCUGGGCCUCUCUUCGAGUCUGUCUGUCUCUCCGAGGAAGAAGCUAAUCUAGGGACUGUGGAGCGCAGCGCACAUACGUUGACACCUCGACUGGUCCAGCUAGACACACAACCCUGCGGGUCCAGUGCUACCUGGUCACUGCACCCAGCCUCGUGUGGUCCAUAUUUCAUCCAUUCAUGGAUGCAUGAUUUUUACUCCCUGUAUGACAUGCAUGUACAUGCAGAUGCGGAUCUGAUGCUUGACGCUGAUGAAUGA